rnacentral:rRNA from 1 species
GAUGAACGCUGGCGGCGUGCUUAACACAUGCAAGUCGAGCGAAGCAAUUAAGUUGAUUUCUUCGGAUUGAUUCUUAACUGACUGAGCGGCGGACGGGUGAGUAACGCGUGGGUGACCUGCCCCAUACCGGGGGAUAACAGCUGGAAACGGCUGCUAAUACCGCAUAAGCGCACAGAGCUGCAUGGCUCGGUGGGAAAAACUCCGGUGGUAUGGGAUGGGCCCGCGUCUGAUUAGGGAGUUGGCGGGGUAACGGCCCACCAAACCGACGAUCAGUAGCCGGCCUGAGAGGGCGACCGGCCACAUUGGGACUGAGACACGGCCCAAACUCCUACGGGAGGCAGCAGUGGGGAAUAUUGCACAAUGGGGGAAACCCUGAUGCAGCGACGCCGCGUGAGCGAAGAAGUAUUUCGGUAUGUAAAGCUCUAUCAGCAGGGAAGAUAAUGACGGUACCUGACUAAGAAGCCCCGGCUAACUACGUGCCAGCCGCCGCGGUAAUAC